rnacentral:lncRNA from 1 species
UUUUUUUAAGACACAUGCACAUGUGGAGUAUUAUAUAAUUUAUUUUAAUAAAUUAUUGAUAGAUCCUCCAUCAACACAAUUAGAAAAAAUGAAACAACGGGAGACAUCUCAAAAGAGCAACACAUGAUUACUGGAUUAGAAUAUCUGAGCAAUUUAAUCAUUUGCAUUUUAUUCGGCUGGUAUGUAUAUUUAUUUUUAAUUCAAAUAUAUGUAUAUAUAUUUUUAUAUUUUGUGUAAAAUUUAUUUUAUAUCACACUCGGCUUAUAAUUUUCUUUUUUAAUCUCAUUACAGGUACGGAUUACCUUUUAUAUCAAAAGGCAAUCUUUUAUUAUCGAUUAUUAAUAUUUUCGGAGUAUUGAUACAGAGUACAUAUUUGAUCAUAUUUUUAUAUUAUUCUCCAGAAGUUGAGAGACUCAGAAUCCUCAAACUUCUCUCAAUAGCUCCUUGUACUUUCAUUUUCAUGAUUGCGGAAGUAUUCAACAUAGACCAAAAAGUUAAAGGGCUUCUGAAUGGAGUUAUAGUCGCUUCAAUUGUCUCGUUUGUGUAUUGUUACAGUUUUUGUGUGAAUAUUGUAAGAAAACUUUUUAAAUUUAUUUUACUGUUUUAUUAGAAUCGUGAAAUAGUAAAUAAAAGAAUUUAUAUAAUUAUUUCAAUGAUAAAUUUGUUUAUAAAAAUGCAGUGGAUGCUGAUAGAAAAGAAGAAUGUUGAAUCCAUUUCCAUCAUUUGGACAUCAAUAAAUAUACUAUGUGAUUUUACUUGGUUGAUCUAUGGUGUAUUACAUGCUGACCUUUAUAUUGUUGUAAGUUUCUUAGUUCUUAUUUAUUUUAACCCUU